rnacentral:rRNA from 1 species
AUUGAACGCUGGCGGCAGGCCUAACACAUGCAAGUCGAACGAGUGGCGGACGGGUGAGUAAUGUCUGGGAAACUGCCCGAUGGAGGGGGAUCACUACUGGAAACGGUAGCUAAUACCGCAUACCAUCGGAUGUGCCCAGAUGGGAUUAGCGAGUAGGUGGGGUAACGGCUCACCUAGGCGACGAUCCCUAGCUGGUCUGAGAGGAGGACCAGCCACACUGGAUCUGAGACACGGUCCAGACUCCUACGGGAGGCAGCCGUGGGGAAUAUUGCACCAUGGGCGCAAGCCUGAGGCAGCCAUGCCGCGUGUAUGAAGAAGGCCUUCGGGUUGUAAAGUACUUUCAGCGGGGAGGCGUUACCCGCAGAAGAAGCACCGGCUAACUCCGUGCCAGCAGCCGCGGUAAUUC